CACAGUGGAGUUAAACCUUACAGCUGUGACUUGUGUGGAAAGUCUUUUUCAAUGGCUCAAACCUUAGAAACACACCAACUCAUCCACAGUGGAUUUAAACCUUACAGCUGUGAGUUGUGUGGUAAAGCCUUUGCUCAAAGUAGCAACUUACAGAGGCAUCUAGUUACCCACUCUGGAAUUAAGGCAUACAGCUGCGACUUUUGUGGAAAAAGUUUCAGCGACAAACACUACCAAAAUAUUCACCUACGGAUUCACACUGGAAAUGAUGUUUACUGCUGUGAUCAGUGUGGAAAACCGUUUACAACAGAUGCACAGUUAAAAAUACACAUGUUUACCCACACUGAGGAGAGACCUUAUAAAUGUGACCUGUGUGAGAAGACUUUUAAAGCUCCACAUCACCUGAAAAAACACCAACAGAUCCACACCAGAAAGUAACUCUACUAGUGCAGUUACUGUGAGGAUGUAUUGAUUUUAACCUGAUUGUUUGGAACAAGUCUGAUGAGUAAACUUGUGGAAUUAUACUGAAUGAACUGUUUGGAAAAAUGAAGAGUCAUCUUUGUCUGAAGUGGAGCAAAGCACAUGGAUCCAGUUCUCAACCCUGUCGUCACUGUGGUGGUGGGAAAGCGUUUUUCUGUGACCUUUGUGGAAAAACUUCCAAUCAUCAAUGGGACCUAAAAACACAUCAACGUAGCCACGCUGGAGUCAAAAUGAACUACUGUAAAGAAUUUGUGAGAGGCUCCCACACCCCAAGUACAUUGAAAUACAUGACCUCUUCCACAGUGGGGUCAAAAAGCACAUCUGUGACCAGUGUGGGUCAUCCUUCACCACUGCACAUGAGCUUAAUGAAAAAGCAUAAGCGAAUCCACACAGGAGAGACACCAUACAAGUGCAGACACUGUGACAAAAGCUCACAAUCAGGUCAUUGUAACAAACAUGAACGUACAAACAUGGAAGUGAACUUCAGCUGUGACCAGUGUGACAAGAGCUUCAGGAAUCUCAGUUCAUACUCCGAACACAAAUGAUCCCACACUGUAAAUAAACUGUUUCACUGUUACCAAUGUGCAAAAACA